UACAGUUUUGAUGGCUUCUGGUGUUACAUU
rnacentral:piRNA from 1 species